AUGCUAUUAGCUCAGUUGGAUAGAGCGAUCCCUUCCUAAGGAUAGGUCACAAGUUCAAUUCUUGUAUGGCACGCCU
rnacentral:tRNA from 1 species